rnacentral:rRNA from 1 species
AUCGGUGACAGGUGGUGCAUGGUUGUCGUCAGCUCGUGUCGUGAGAUGUUGGGUUAAGUCCCGCACGAGCGCAACCCCUAUUGUUAGUUGCCAUCAUUCAGUUGGGCACUCUAGCGAGACUGCCGGUAAUAAACCGGAGGAAGUGGGGAUGACGUCAAAUCAUCAUGCCCCUUAUGACCUGGGCUACACACGUGCUACAAUGGUUGGUACAACGAGUUGCGAGUCGGUGACGGCGAGCUAAUCUCUUAAAGCCAAUCUCAGUUCGGAUUGUAGGCUGCAACUCGCCUACAUGAAGUCGGAAUCGCUAGUAAUCGCGGAUCAGCACGCCGCGGUGAAUACGUUCCCGGGCCUU